rnacentral:rRNA from 1 species
GAGUUUGAUCCUGGCUCAGAUUGAACGCUGGCGGCAGGCCUAACACAUGCAAGUCGAGCGGAAACGGCAGCAUUGAAGCUUCGGUGGAUUUGCUGGACGUCGAGCGGCGGACGGGUGAGUAACGGCUGGGAACCUGCCCUGACGAGGGGGAUAACCGUUGGAAACGACGGCUAAUACCGCAUAAUGUCUUGGUUCGUUAGAGUCAGGACCAAAGGUGGCCUCUACAUGUAAGCUAUCGCGUUGGGAUGGGCCCAGUUAGGAUUAGCUAGUUGGUAAGGUAAUGGCUUACCAAGGCGACGAUCCUUAGCUGAUUUGAGAGGAUGAUCAGCCACACUGGGACUGAGACACGGCCCAGACUCCUACGGGAGGCAGCAGUGGGGAAUAUUGCACAAUGGGGGAGACCCUGAUGCAGCCAUGCCGCGUGUGUGAAGAAGGCCUUCGGGUUGUAAAGCACUUUCAGCAGUGAGGAAGGUGGUGUACUUAAUAUGUGCACGGCUUGACGUUAGCUGCAGAAGAAGCACCGGCUAACUCCGUGCCAGCAGCCGCGGUAAUACGGAGGGUGCGAGCGUUAAUCGGAAUUACUGGGCGUAAAGCGCAUGCAGGCGGUUUGUUAAGUCAGAUGUGAAAGCCCGGGGCUCAACCUCGGAACCGCAUUUGAAACUGGCAGGCUAGAGUCUUGUAGAGGGGGGUAGAAUUUCAGGUGUAGCGGUGAAAUGCGUAGAGAUCUGAAGGAAUACCAGUGGCGAAGGCGGCCCCCUGGACAA